AAUGGAGCCCGUGUGAGCUCGCCUCCAGCGUGAUGUCAGUCCGUAAUAAAAACGAAGAAGGUAACAUGGAGGGCAGGAACUUCGGCUGACCCCAACUUGAACCUCUCCGCGCUCAUCGUCUUAAAGGGACCGGCAGCUUUUACUUGCCGGAGACUUCGCGCUUCCUUCCUCGUUGUUUGUUUCGUCGAGGACCAUUACUAAUGCUCUUUACGUCAACUUUUCAAAUAUGCAUUUAGAAAUACAGUAAAAAAAUAUAUAUAUAUUCUAAUGGAGGGGAGUGGGGUUAAAAAAAACAAACAUCGUGAUUUUUCUUGGUGUUUGAGAAAACAGAAAUCAUUUGAUGCAUAUAAAUAUAUGUUCAUGUAAUAAAAGCAAUGAACUGCAAGGGAUUUUAAAAAUAUGACUACCAAUAAGGAAUGGAAAUACUUGGUGAUUACUGAUUAGAAGCUGUACUCUGAGGGAUUUUGACACAUAUCGGCAUUGGGUAUUUGUUUUUUAUCUGAUAAGAGAUCAAUUUAAACAGGGGAAAACUGCAAUAAUGAUUGAUUGACAUUUUCAGUGUACUUCUGGGAGCUCCCUGCCCUUUUUUUAUUCAAAUUUUAAAAGGAGGAUGUCUGUUGUUUGAGGUUUAAAAAAAACAACUUUAAUAUGCUCCAACUCAAAAAGCUGCUAACAUUUAUUUAAUGUCAUUCAAACAAAGUUGGGGGUUUGGAGUUUUUAUGAUUAAAACAUUGGAAUAGCAAUUCCAAAAUCGGUUAUCCGCCUCCUCGGAUCCGAAUAAUCAAUAUCAGCCCUUGAAAAGCCAUAGUCCAGGGGUGUCAAACUCAAAUUCACGGUGGGCCAAAAUUUUAAAUUGAACAAAGCCGCGGGCCAAGGUUGAACAAAUUAACCUUUUAAUAUGGAACCAAACAAGUGUGUAAUACUUGUCAUACCGACGGACCAGCUUUAAUAUUAAUUUGAAAUUGCCUUGUGGGGCAAAUAUAAUUGUUUGACACCUAUGCCAUAGUCUGUCUUCGUUGCUGAAUCUAGUUUCCCUGGCUUGGUCCCAAAAAAAAAAAAAAUCAUCAAUUACCGCCAAUAAUGCUGGUGGUACAAGUGGAGAUAGGAGUUAGCAUGUUCGCCUCGCAAUUCUGAGGUUGCAGCUCCGAAUCUGGGCUCCUGUUUCCCUUUGAGGAGUCUGCAGCUUGUCGCUGUGCUUGCGUGGGUUUUAUCUAGGUACUCCAACUUCUUCUCACAUUCUGGAAACGUCCACGUUGAACACUAAAAUUGUCCCAAGGUGUGAACACAAAUGUGAAGGUUGUUUGUGUAUCUGAGCCCCGCGUGAGCUGGAAUAUUCCAUCACACUGACAUUCAGUGUCAAAUCAGCCAGCUAGCCUAGCUUAGGUGGUGGCUAACAUGAGAUAUUUGCGCUAACAGAAGCCCAACAGGGUGUCUUGGCAACAUCUUCGGAUAUUUAAAAGGGCUCAGAAGUAUGCAAAUAGGCCCCCCCAGUGGCUUCCUCUGGGCGGCCGAUCCAGGUUCACGUUGCCGGGCGCCGGUGGGCGGAAGUGAUCCGCAACACCCCGAGUAGCCCGGGCCGAGGAGGGGGAUGAGCGCAUUGUCUCGGGCUUCCAUGUUCCCCUGAUGAACUGCUGAUAACCUGGCAGACAGACACGGAGCGCUCCGACCAGACCGGGCCUGGAGGACACAUUUGCUCCCGUGGAGGAUGUGACUUUUUCAUCCAAGGUCCAGAAUAGUUUCCACGCACGGGCUGAGUAUGAAGCAAGGGUCGGGACAACACUCUCUGAACUGAUUUUCGACCUGGUCACCGCUAGAACAGAACCAAGCGAUACCGUUCCCUUCAAGAUGAGUCACCAAUACGCUGAGUUACCUAGUGCAUGUGCGACAAGAAGGGAGACAAACUGAUAAAAAGGUGAAACGAUUGGGACUUUUAGACUUGAGGGUGUUGUCAACCGUGACCCUGUCAAAUACUUCAAGACUCUUUUGUCAUUGGGCUAUACAAAUAAACAACUUGAAAGGUGUUGCUUUGUACAAUGAGAGGUUAUCACCCGAUUUUAGGACCUUGAUGCAGAUUAAUGUUUUCCUGUGUCCUGUGCAAACUAAUUUUUAACCUGGUGACCAGUUAAAUUUGACCUUAAGCCAUCUAAUUGUGGUCAAGUUCAAUUACCAACACGCUAUAGAUCCAUCCAUCCAUCCAUUAUCCAAGUCGCUCAUCCUCACAUGGGUCACGGAAAAACUGGAGGCCACCCCAGCUAGCUUCGGGCGAAAGGCGGACUACACCCCGAACUGGUCGCCAGUCAGUCGAAGGGCAGAUAUCGACACCAUCUCUGAGCAGGAAUCGCUCCCACGCUACCCCCUCCAAAGUCAGGCGUGUGUACCACUGCACCAUCAGUGACUGAGCAGUAUUAUUAUUAUUACUAUUACAGUAUUAUUUUGCAAAAUGAAGGGUUAUCAGGUGUUUAGGUGUGUCAUGAGCGGGGUUGGAGCACUGCCAGGAGGGGCCUGGGUUGGCCAUCUCUGGCACGCGUCGCAGCAUUACAUUUGGCAUGUUAAUUAACCAUGUAUUUACGUUGGAGUUUAC